GUGCUCACUUUGGCAGCACAUAUACUAAAACUGAACGAUACAGAGAAGAUUAGCAUGGUCCCUGCACAAGGAUGACACACAAAUUCGUGAAGCGUUAAAAAAAAAA
rnacentral:snRNA from 1 species